UGCCAAACCCAGGCCUGGUUUGGCCUCAGUCGUUUUUCAGAUCUGCUGGGAAAACAGCACAGAAGGAUGGGGUAGCCUGAAUUCCUUCUACCGGAUCCGAGGGACUUUGCUGACAAGUCAGAGCCAGCCCCUGGGUUCACACAUCACUCUGCACUUGGAAAGAACUUUCUGGAAAUGCAAUUCCUCCUCUCAGUCUUGCCCACAGCCCUGUAGGGUGGGACUUGGGUGCUCUCCCCUGUUCUGUGCAGAAGGAGCCAGUCUUGGGGGCGGAGGGCAGAGACGUCCGCAGGAAGCUGGGAGCCCUUCCAUGUCCCGCCUCAGGGCUGGGGAGAGUGUGGGCCCCUUCCCCUCUGGCCCCUGCCUGGCCACUGCCUGGUCACCACAGGUCCCAGCGCAUUGGCAAGGCCGUCCUAGCUCUUGUCUUCUGUUGACACGCAGGCUCAUUCACGUUGAUUUUUUUGAAAGUCGUUACAGAGAGAAGAGCUUUCAAAAUAGAGACACAGAUGUCCUGUUGCAAGAGCCUGGAGCCUUGGGGCUUUGCCUGGGCCUGGACAUCCCCAGGGGUGGCUUCCCCUGGCACAGCAGCUGGCAUCCAGUGGAGAUGCUGGUGAAAGAAGCCAGAAAUGACUGACAGAUGCCACGUCAGUGCUCUGUGAGCCCCUGGUGUGGCCUGGCCCAUUUGGGGCUUCGAGGACACCAAUGUCAGAAUGGAGUUUCCUUUUUCAGAGGGAAGGUCUGGGUAGACGGGGAUGAGACAGGAGCCUGAGAGCGGCUGCUGGUCGGAACCUGGAUGACAGUGACACACCCACCUGCUCGUGGGGAUGCCCACCGUCUGUACAUGCUGCUUGAGACAAAAUCCACCAGCAGGCCGUCAGGACGGCGGCUUCCAUACAUGGUUAGACCUGAGAUGAUGAGGACAGAGGAGCUGGGACCCCAGCAUUUAUUCCUCGAGGGUCCUCUUCCUGUACUCGCUGGCGCCUCAGCCCCAAAGAGAAAUGUGGAGUCUUCCCCCUUCACUAAAAACAAGAUGCAACACGACUUCAAGCUGACGGAAGAGGGAAUUCCCAGCAGCUGUCCUAUGGAAGCCCCCCUGUCGUCCAUGUCGCCAUGGGCUGUGUCCCUCGGAAGCCCUGACCGCCCCACCCCAGUCCUCAGAAUGUGAGUGGGUUUGGAGAUGGGCCUUUACAGAGCAUUUACCUGUGACGUCUGGACUAAUGAAGAUAAACUCUUAAAUGCCAAUUCAGUUACUGAAGUACCAGCCACAGGUUUCUUCCGCUUCUGCUCGAUGGCUGGCUCCGUUCACACUCAGAGAACGUGGUCUGAUGGAAUCCCUGACAAUGUUAUCAUGCAAUGAUACCAUAGAGCAAGAGUGCCGUGGUAGUGACAGCCCAAAAGGCAGCAUUUGGUGUCCAGGAAAAAACCCACAAAGACAAAUGUAAGGAAAAUAUGUGUAAUAAAGACAUAAAGGACUAGUAUCCUUUAUAUAUAAAGAGUUCCCAGAGGAAAUAAGAAGCGUUCACCCUACUGGGACAUCAGGGACCAUCUUCCCCUACAGCCUGGGAAGGGGCACGGCCCUGGGACACCUGGAUCCCGAAUCCUGGCCUCCGGACCUGGGAGAAUACAUUUCUGGUGUUUGAAGCCCUCCGUGUUUAGAUGCUUUGUUACAACAGCCCCAGGAAACAAAUACAGAGACUAUUUCCACCUCUGCAAUUAGCAAAAAUACUUUCUAAAUGAAAAUGCUUACAUGGUGGCCAGGUUUAAAGUCAGGAGUCACCUCGUAGCUUGGCAGCAUGUACCCAAGGCUAUAAGAGCAUUUCUCUUCUUUAACGUGGUAAUUUCGUUUUUAAGGUUUUAUCCUAACAAAAAUUUCAUGUAAGAAUGAAGAUAUUUGGAAAAGGUGCUCGUGAUAACAUUGCUUACGGUAAUGUAUAAAAACAACAAAUGUCUAAGAAUUGCAGAAAGGUUAAAUAAGUGGAAAUGUUAAAUAUAUGUUUGACAUAAUGAAAUAGUCGACAUUUAAAAUAAUGUCUUUAAAUCAAACAUGACACGGAAAUUCUCUUUAUGUACAUAGAAAAAACAGGAUAUAAAACUAUUCAUAUUUGUAGCGUAUAAUCCAAAUUUAUUUUUAAAAUACUUGUAACAUAUUUAUAUAACUAGAAAAAUAUACCGAAACAAUAACAGUGGCGAUAUCUGGGUGGUAGAAUUAUAGAUUAUCUUAACUUUAUUGUUUAUUAUUUCUUACGGAUUCUUCAUAUAUAUCUUAUAAUGGUAUAUAUUCAAUUUUAUGAUCAGGUAAAAGUUUUAGAAUUCCAAAUUAUUACUGUGUUGACUUUUGAUUGAAAUAAUGUGGGAGUAACAAUCUUUGAAAAAUCCAAGAUGUAAUAAUGAUACCCAAUAGAGACCACAAUAUUUACUGCGGGUGAAGUAGUAAAACGACUUAAAUUCGGUAACAAAGACCCAAGUACAGGAUGGGUGUUUCUCCUGAAACAACGAGGAAGAAAGCAAACACGUGACUACUUCCCAAAACCCUCCAGGGCUUGGCCAAGCCAGAGAACCUGUCUCAAUCCAAGUUUUAACACAAAGUGAUUUUUUUUGGUUGGGGGACCCCUCGUGCUCUACCCUUUUCAUUGUUGUCUUUCUUCUUCCCCCCAUUUAUCCCCUAAUCUGUGAGUGUUGGAGUCGGGAGGGACAAAGACCCAGAGAGGAGUGCCUGGACCCCCCAGGGUGGCCUGACCUGCUCUAGGUCACCCAAUUGGAACAAGGCUGAGAUUUGCCCCCCAACUCCCCAGCUCAUGCUGUGACCAAGUGUCCCUGUCUGAAGGAGCAGUCCCACCUCAUUGUCCAAGGAUAGAAGUGUCACCUAGCCAGGCCUCCCACAUCUCCUCCCGGAGUUAUGUGACAAGCUGACCACAUCUCCCUGCCCCUGCAAACUUGUGUGGAAAGCCCCUCAAGUUCUCCGUACUCUGUGCAUUUAGGAUCAGGCCUAGCUGAGGGGUGAGGCUCUGCUUGAAUAAUUCACUGUCCCCACCCAGCUCCCCUCUGGGCCACUGACAGGAAGGUGGGCACCACCUGGGGAGGGCAGGCUCGCCCCUGACCAUGCGGGACUCUGGGCCAGCUGAGCACUGCUGGGUGUCCACCUUCGCUCUUGAGGCAAUGGACACUGUCCCCAGUCUGCAGGCCAUCCUGGCUGGGCUCCAGUUGCAGUGCUGGUCCCGGCAGUGCCAACUGCCUCCCCAGGAUGUAGUCACCCUGGUCACCUUGCACAGGAGAGGGGCAGCUCCCUGAAAGACACCAGGUGGGCUGGGUGGGCCAGCAUGUCUCAGGCCCGAGCUACUGGUUCUCAGCCCCAGGGCUUGAGGGCAUGGUCCCCUUCAGGUCUCCCUCCCCCAGGAGUUCAACCUAGGGGCAUCUGUGGGACUGCAGGGCUCCCAGUACCCUUUGGGGAGAGCUCCCCUCUGUGGGUGGGUGACUGCUGGGGUCACUGCCAGACCAACGGACCAAAGGAUGGGGGUGGGACUGGAGCCCCUCCCACUCCACCUCAGGGGGACGCUCCCUUGACACCCAUACCUACUCAUCGUCACGUGACCUGAAUGAACACUGCCCGUGAGGCUGACCAGUCAGGUUGACCAGUCAGGCUGGGCUCCCAGUGGGUUUGGCUGCUGCCUGGGCUGGGACCUCUGAUGGUGAGGACAGGUUGUCCUGCCUUGGGCUCUGGCUCCUGGUCCGUCCUUGUCUGGCAGCCUGCGAUCUGCCGCCCCCAUGCCCUUCCACUGAAGAAUAUUCUACCUUCAGGUCCCCACAGCCACCAGCCAGUCCAUGGGGUGCUCAAGGCCUGUAACCCCCAAAAUGUUCAUUUCCCUUUUUGUCAGUGGGGUCAGUCCUAGGGAGUCCCAAAGCAGGGACACAGCUCUGACCACAGCCAGAGCCAAGCACACGUGCGUAGGCACACCCAUACACACACACA